rnacentral:rRNA from 1 species
GACGAACGCUGGCGGCGUGCUUAACACAUGCAAGUCUACGAGAAUAAGGUAGCAAUAUCUUUAGUAAAGUGGCGCACGGGUGAGUAACACGUAAGUAACCUACCUUUAGAUUUGGAAUAACCCCGAGAAAUCGGGGCUAAUACCGAAUGAUGCAGCGGCACCACAUGGUGAUGUUGUUAAAGUCUAUAUGACGUCUAAAGAUGGGCUUGCGUCUGAUUAGCUUGUUGGUGAGGUAACGGCUCACCAAGGCUACGAUCAGUAGCUGGUCUGAGAGGAUGAUCAGCCACACUGGAACUGAGACACGGUCCAGACUCCUACGGGAGGCAGCAGUGAGGAAUAUUGGGCAAUGCCCGAAAGGGUGACCCAGCAACGCCGCGUGGAGGAUGAAUGCCGUAAGGUUGUAAACUCCUGUUAGAGGGGAAGAAAAAUCUCGAUCAAAUCGAGAACUGACUGUACCCUCAGAGAAAGCCCCGGCUAACUACGUGCCAGCAGCCGCCGUAACAC